AAGGAGUCUAACAUAUAUGCGAGUAUUUGGGUGGUAAACCCUUGUGCGUAAUUAAAGUGAAAAGGAGGGAUCUUUAUAAGUGCACCAUCGACCGCGCCAGGUUAUUACUACCUCGGCGUGAGUAUAAGCAUAUAUGCUGGGACCCGAAAGAUGGUGAACUAUGCCUGAAUAGGGUGAAGCCAGAGGAAACUCUGGUGGAGGCUCGUAGCGGUACUGACGUGCAAAUCGAUCGUCAAAUUUGGGUAUAGGGGCGAAAGACUAAUUGAACCAUCUAGUAGCUGGUUCCCUC
rnacentral:misc_RNA from 1 species